GGGACAUUGUAAGGCACUUUCCCCGGUGUCUAAGAGCAACCGCUGUGUGUGCAUAGCCGAGUCCCUGAAACUGGGACCCCUGGGCUCCCGCGUUCGGGCUCAGACCCCAAGGUCUUGAUAUGGAAAAGGCAAGACGCUAAGGCCUGCCGAAAGAGGUAUAUAUAAAACAGAGUUUACAGGUUGAAGAGGAUCAGGCUUGCUGUGCUGAGAUCUCGUGUGAGGUAAAUACUUAGUGAACUUUUGUAGGUCAACUCCAUGCUCAUCUGACCAGAGAGCACUCCACCACUCCAUGUUGGAGAAAGUCCUGCCUCAGCACCUGAGUUAGUCUCAGCUGACAUUAUUCUGCCUAUUAGCUGGAGUCCAAGGAAGUGACAAGAAGCCACCAGCGUACCACCAGAAGUUUUUUGGUUCAUCUCUCUGUGGAGUCCUGACAAAUGGAGCUCAACUAUGCAAUGUGGACCAAUACAUGCAUCUCUGUAGGGAAGAAUCCUUUGUCACAUGUCCUUUCACAUGCUUGCUUUAGGAGAAAAUCCUUUAACCUUGUGUCUGCUUCAGUGAAAUUUUCCUUUACAUGUCUGCUUUAGUAAAACAUCCUUUCACUUGUAUCUGCUUCAGUAAAAUACUCUUUCACAUGUUUGCCCCAUCAAACCACCAUCUGACACAUCUGACUUUCCAAAGAACCCUUAAGUGUCCACUGCACUUUAUUUUUCUAAUUGAAAGAAAAUUGUGAUAAAGUUGAAUAUCUCUUCAAAAGAACAAGUCUUCAGAAUCGUUUUUAUUUUUAUAAGAUGUAUCCAAAAUAC
ensembl:processed_transcript Gm11999 predicted gene 11999